rnacentral:rRNA from 1 species
GUUUGAUCCUGGCUCAGGAUGAACGCUAGCGGCAGGCUUAACACAUGCAAGUCGAGGGGUAUAUGUCUUCGGAUAUAGAGACCGGCGCACGGGUGCGUAACGCGUAUGCAAUCUACCUUUUACAGAGGGAUAGCCCAGAGAAAUUUGGAUUAAUACCUCAUAGNAUAGUGACUCGGCAUCGAGAUACUAUUAAAGUCACAACGGUAAAAGAUGAGCAUGCGUCCCAUUAGCUAGUUGGUAAGGUAACGGCUUACCAAGGCUACGAUGGGUAGGGGUCCUGAGAGGGAGAUCCCCCACACUGGUACUGAGACACGGACCAGACUCCUACGGGAGGCAGCAGUGAGGAAUAUUGGACAAUGGGCGCAAGCCUGAUCCAGCCAUGCCGCGUGCAGGAUGACGGUCCUAUGGAUUGUAAACUGCUUUUGUACGAGAAGAAACACUCCUACGUGUAGGAGCUUGACGGUAUCGUAAGAAUAAGGAUCGGCUAACUCCGUGCCAGCAGCCGCGGUAAUACGGAGGAUCCAAGCGUUAUCCGGAAUCAUUGGGUUUAAAGGGUCCGUAGGCGGUUUAGUAAGUCAGUGGUGAAAGCCCAUCGCUCAACGGUGGAACGGCCAUUGAUACUGCUAAACUUGAAUUAUUAGGAAGUAACUAGAAUAUGUAGUGUAGCGGUGAAAUGCUUAGAGAUUACAUGGAAUACCAAUUGCGAAGGCAGGUUACUACUAAUGGAUUGACGCUGAUGGACGAAAGCGUGGGUAGCGAACAGGAUUAGAUACCCUGGUAGUCCACGCCGUAAACGAUGGAUACUAGCUGUUGGAAGCAAUUUCAGUGGCUAAGCGAAAGUGAUAAGUAUCCCACCUGGGGAGUACGUUCGCAAGAAUGAAACUCAAGG